UACGUAGGGUGCGAGCGUUAAUCGGAAUUACUGGGCGUAAAGCGUGCGCAGGCGGUUCGUUAAGUUCGUUGUGAAAGCCCCGGGCUCAACCUGGGAACUGCAAUGGAAACUGGCGUGCUUGAAUGCGGCAGAGGGGGGUGGAAUUCCGCGUGUAGCAGUGAAAUGCGUAGAGAUGCGGAGGAACACCGAUGGCGAAGGCAGCCCCCUGGGCCGACAUUGACGCUCAGGCACGAAAGCGUGGGGAGCAAACAGG
rnacentral:rRNA from 1 species